GUGUGUGAAAGUGCUGUGUGUGAUGGGUGUGAGAGUGCUGUGUGUGUGUGAGUGCUCUGUGAGAGUGCGCUGUGUGUGAUGGGGUGAGAGUGAUGGGUGUGAGAGUGCUGUGUGAGAGUGCUGUGUGUGAUGGGUGUGAGAGUGCUGUGUGAGAGUGCUGUGUGUGAUGGGUGUGAGAGUGCUGUGUGAGAGAGUGCUGUGUGUGAUGGGUGUGAGAGUGCUGUGUGAGAGAGUGCUGUGUGUAAUGUGUGUGAGAGUGCUGUGUGUGAUGGGUGAGAGUGCUGUGUGUGAGAGUGCUGUGUGUAAUGUGUGUGAGAGUGCUGUGUGUGAUGGGUGAGAGUGCUGUGUGAGAGUGCUGUGUGUGAUGGGUGUGAGAGUGCUGUGUGUGAUGGGUGAGAGUGCUGUGUGUGAGAGUGCUGUGUGUGAUGGGUGUGAGAGUGCUGUGGGAGAGUGCUGUGUGUGAUGGGUGUAAGAGUGCUGUGGGAGAGAGUGCUGUGUGUGAUGUGGGAGAGAGUGCUGUGUGUGAUGGGUGUGAGAGUGCUGUAUAAAUGUUAUUGUGUGUGUGUGUGUAGGGGGGGGUAAAUAAAAUAAAAAUAAAAAAAAGUCAUUAUUUCCCCCCCUCCCUUCUUACCUUUAGCAUGGGAGGGGGGGGGACCGGC